rnacentral:rRNA from 1 species
CAGGACGAACGCUGGCGGCGUGCCUAAUACAUGCAAGUCGAGCGGACAGAAGGGAGCUUGCUCCCGGAUGUUAGCGGCGGACGGGUGAGUAACACGUGGGUAACCUGCCUGUAAGACUGGGAUAACUCCGGGAAACCGGAGCUAAUACCGGAUAGUUCCUUGAACCGCAUGGUUCAAGGAUGAAAGACGGUUUCGGCUGUCACUUACAGAUGGACCCGCGGCGCAUUAGCUAGUUGGUGAGGUAACGGCUCACCAAGGCGACGAUGCGUAGCCGACCUGAGAGGGUGAUCGGCCACACUGGGACUGAGACACGGCCCAGACUCCUACGGGAGGCAGCAGUAGGGAAUCUUCCGCAAUGGACGAAAGUCUGACGGAGCAACGCCGCGUGAGUGAUGAAGGUUUUCGGAUCGUAAAGCUCUGUUGUUAGGGAAGAACAAGUGCAAGAGUAACUGCUUGCACCUUGACGGUACCUAACCAGAAAGCCACGGCUAACUACGUGCCAGCAGCCGCGGUAAUACGUAGGUGGCAAGCGUUGUCCGGAAUUAUUGGGCGUAAAGGGCUCGCAGGCGGUUUCUUAAGUCUGAUGUGAAAGCCCCCGGCUCAACCGGGGAGGGUCAUUGGAAACUGGGAAACUUGAGUGCAGAAGAGGAGAGUGGAAUUCCACGUGUAGCGGUGAAAUGCGUAGAGAUGUGGAGGAACACCAGUGGCGAAGGCGACUCUCUGGUCUGUAACUGACGCUGAGGAGCGAAAGCGUGGGGAGCGAACAGGAUUAGAUACCCUGGUAGUCCACGCCGUAAACGAUGAGUGCUAAGUGUUAGGGGGUUUCCGCCCCUUAGUGCUGCAGCUAACGCAUUAAGCACUCCGCCUGGGGAGUACGGUCGCAAGACUGAAACUCAAAGGAAUUGACGGGGGCCCGCACAAGCGGUGGAGCAUGUGGUUUAAUUCGAAGCAACGCGAAGAACCUUACCAGGUCUUGACAUCCUCUGACAACCCUAGAGAUAGGGCUUUCCCUUCGGGGACAGAGUGACAGGUGGUGCAUGGUUGUCGUCAGCUCGUGUCGUGAGAUGUUGGGUUAAGUCCCGCAACGAGCGCAACCCUUGAUCUUAGUUGCCAGCAUUCAGUUGGGCACUCUAAGGUGACUGCCGGUGACAAACCGGAGGAAGGUGGGGAUGACGUCAAAUCAUCAUGCCCCUUAUGACCUGGGCUACACACGUGCUACAAUGGACAGAACAAAGGGCUGCGAGACCGCAAGGUUUAGCCAAUCCCACAAAUCUGUUCUCAGUUCGGAUCGCAGUCUGCAACUCGACUGCGUGAAGCUGGAAUCGCUAGUAAUCGCGGAUCAGCAUGCGCGGNUGAAUACGUUCCCGGGCCUUGUACACACCGCCCGUCACACCACGAGAGUUUGCAACAUCCGAAGUCGGUGAGGUAACCUUUAUGGAG